rnacentral:rRNA from 1 species
AGAGUUUGAUCAUGGCUCAGAAUCAACGCUGGCGGCGUGCCUAACACAUGCAAGUCGAACGCGAAAAGGGCUUCGGCCCUGAGUAGAGUGGCGAACGGGUGAGUAACGCGUGGGUGACCUACCUUCGAGUGGGGGAUAACGUCCCGAAAGGGACGCUAAUACCGCAUAACAUCCUGCCUUUGAACAGGCGGAGAUCAAAGCCGGGGAUCGUAAGACCUGGCGCUUGAUGAGGGGCCCGCGUCUGAUUAGCUAGUUGGUGAGGUAAUGGCUCACCAAGGCGACGAUCAGUAUCCGGCCUGAGAGGGCGGACGGACACACUGGGACUGAGACACGGCCCAGACUCCUACGGGAGGCAGCAGUGGGGAAUUGUUCGCAAUGGGCGCAAGCCUGACGACGCAACGCCGCGUGGAGGAUGAAGGUCUUCGGAUUGUAAACUCCUGUUGCUCGGGAAGAAUGGCUCCGACCUAAUACGUCGGAGUGUGACGGUACCGGGUGAGGAAGCCCCGGCUAACUCUGUGCCAGCAGCCGCGGUAAUACAGAGGGGGCAAGCGUUGUUCGGAAUUACUGGGCGUAAAGGGCGCGUAGGCGGCCUCUUAAGUCGAACGUGAAAUCCCCGGGCUCAACCCGGGAACUGCGUCCGAUACUGGGAGGCUUGAAUCCGGGAGAGGGAUGUGGAAUUCCAGGUGUAGCGGUGAAAUGC